UACGGAAGGCAGCAGUGGGGAAUAUUGCACAAUGGGCGCAAGCCUGAUGCAGCCAUGCCGCGUGUAUGAAAAAGGCCUUCGGGUUGUAAAGUACUUUCAGUCGUGAGGAAGGUGUUAAGGUUAAUAACCUUAGCAAUUGACGUUAGCGACAGAAGAAGCACCGGCUAACUCCGUGCCAGCAGCCGCGGUAAUACGGAGGGUGCGAGCGUUAAUCGGAAUUACUGGGCGUAAAGGGCACGCAGGCGGUUAAUUAAGUUGGAUGUGAAAUCCCCGGGCUUAACCUGGGAAUGGCAUUCAAGACUGGUUAGCUAGAGCCUUGUAGAGGGGGUAGAAUUCCAUGUGUAGCGGUGAAAUGCGUAGAGAUGUGGAGGAAUACCGGUGGCGAAGGCGGCCCCUGGACAAAGACUGACGCUCAUGUGCGAAAGCGUGGGGAGCAAACAGGGAUUAGAUACC
rnacentral:rRNA from 1 species